rnacentral:tRNA from 1 species
AACUUAGCUCAGUCGGUAGAGCAGCUGAUUCGUAAUCAGCAGGUCGAGAGUUCAAGUCCCUCAGUUG